CUGGGUGGCGACCGGCGUGGGAUGCGGAGCACGUACGUAACCUUCCUUUGGUGGGAGAUACCCCGCGGAAUUCGGAUUAAUACCCCGUAAUAUUGGGGAGUGGCAUCACUCCGCAAUUACCGAACUUCGCUUAAGAAUGGGCGUGCGGCUGAUUAGGUGGUUGGGGAGGUAACGGCUCACCAAACCAACGAUCAGUAACUGGAGUGAGAGCGCGACCACUCAGACGGGCACUGAGACACGGGACCGACUCCUGCGGGAGGCAUGAGUAAGGAAUAUUGGUCAAUGAACGCCUGUCUGAACCACCCCUGCCGCGUGAAGGAUGAAUGUCCUCUGGAUUGUACACUUCUUUUAUGUGAGAAGAAACCGCUCUUAUCUGAAGGUGUUGACGGUACCAUAUGAAUAACCACCGGCUAACUCCGUGCCGCAGCCGCGGUAAUACGGAGGUUGCAAGCGUUAUCCGGAUUCACUGGGUUUAAAGGGUGCGUAGGCGAAUUAGUAAGUCCGUGCUGAAAUCUCCAAUCUUAACUUGCAAACUGCCGUGGAUACUAUUAAUCUUGAAUGUUGUGGAGGUUAGCGAAAUAUGUCAUGUAUGGGUGAAAUGCAUAGAUAUGACAUAGAACACUGUUGCGAACGCAGCUGGCUACACCAAUAUUGACGCUGAUGCACGAAUGCGUGGGGAUCAUACAGGAU
rnacentral:rRNA from 1 species